UACGUAGGCAGCAAGCGUUGUUCGGAGUUACUGGGCGUAAAGGGUGUGUAGGCGGUCUUCUAAGUUUGGUGUGAAAUCUCCCGGCUUAACUGGGAGGGUGCCUAGAAAACUAUCAGGCUUGAGGCAGGGAGAGGGAUGUGGAAUUCCCGGUGUAGUGGUGAAAUGCGUAGAUAUCGGGAGGAACACCAGUGGCGAAGGCGGACUACCUGGCCUGUUCUUGACGCUGAGGCGCGAAAGCUAGGGGAGCAACGGGG
rnacentral:rRNA from 1 species